rnacentral:rRNA from 1 species
UACGUAGGGGCCGAGCGUUGUCCGGAAUUACUGGGCGUAAAGCGCGCGCAGGCGGCUGAUCAAGCCUGACGUGAAAGCCCCCGGCUCAACCGGGGAGGGUCGUCGGGGACUGGUUGGCUUGAGGGGGGCAGGGGCCGGUGGAAUUCCCGGUGUAGUGGUGAAAUGCGUAGAGAUCGGGAGGAACACCAGUGGCGAAGGCGGCCGGCUGGGCCGACCCUGACGCUGAGGCGCGAAGGCGUGGGGAGCGAACGGG